GACGAACGCUGGCGGCGUGCCUAAUACAUGCAAGUAGAACGCUGAAGAGAGGAGCUUGCUCUUCUUGGAUGAGUUGCGAACGGGUGAGUAACGCGUAGGUAACCUGCCUUGUAGCGGGGGAUAACUAUUGGAAACGAUAGCUAAUACCGCAUAACAAUGGAUGACACAUGUCAUUUAUUUGAAAGGGGCAAUUGCUCCACUACAAGAUGGACCUGCGUUGUAUUAGCUAGUAGGUGAGGUAAUGGCUCACCUAGGCGACGAUACAUAGCCGGCCUAAGAGGGUGGUCGGCCACACUGGGACUGAGACACGGCCCAGACUCCUACGGGAGGCAGCAGUAGGGAAUCUUCGGCAAUGGGGGCAACCCUGACCGAGCAACGCCGCGUGAGUGAAGAAUGUUUUCGGAUCGUAAAGCUCUGUUGUAAGUCAAGAACGGGUGUGAGAGUGGAAAGUUCACACUGUGACGGUAGCUUACCAGAAAGGGACGGCUAACUACGUG
rnacentral:rRNA from 1 species